rnacentral:rRNA from 1 species
AGCGAACGCUGGCGGCAGGCCUAACACAUGCAAGUCGAACGAACCUUUCGGGGUUAGUGGCGGACGGGUGCGUAACACGUGGGAACGUGCCUUUAGGUUCGGAAUAACUCAGGGAAACGUGUGCUAAUACCGAAUGUGCCCUUCGGGGGAAAGAUUUAUCGCCUUUAGAGCGGCCCGCGUCUGAUUAGCUAGUUGGUUGGGGUAAUGGCUCACCAAGGCGACGAUCAGUAGCUGGUCUGAGAGGAUGAUCAGCCACAUUGGGACUGAGACACGGCCCAAACUCCUACGGGAGGCAGCAGUGGGGAAUCUUGCGCAAUGGGCGAAAGCCUGACGCAGCCAUGCCGCGUGAAUGAUGAAGGUCUUAGGAUUGUAAAAUUCUUUCACCCGGGACGAUAAUGACGGUACCCGGAGAAGAAGCCCCGGCUAACUUCGUG